UGGGGAAUAUUGCGCAAUGGGCGAAAGCCUGACCCAGCAACGCCGCGUGAAGGAUGAAGUAUUUCGGUAUGUAAACUUCGUAAGAAUAGGAAGAAUAAAUGACGGUACUAUUUGUAAGGUCCGGCUAACUACGUGCCAGCAGCCGCGGUAAUACGUAGGGUGCAGGCGUUAAUCGGAAUUACUGGGCGUAAAGCGUGCGCAGGCGGCUCCUUAAGUCAGAUGUGAAAUCCCCGGGCUUAACCUGGGAACUGCGUUUGAAACUGAGGGGCUAGAGUGUGGAAGAGGGGGGUGGAAUUCCAGGUGUAGCAGUGAAAUGCGUAGAGAUCUGGAGGAACACCGAUGGCGAAGGCAGCCCCCUGGGCUAACACUGACGCUCAUGCACGAAAGCGUGGGGAGCAAACAGGAUUAGAUACCCGUGUAGUCCCUGAGCGGGCUGGCAAGGCGCAU
rnacentral:rRNA from 1 species